rnacentral:rRNA from 1 species
GACGAACGCUGGCGGCGCGCCUAACACAUGCAAGUCGAACGAGCGAGAGAGAGCUUGCUUUCUUGAGCGAGUGGCGAACGGGUGAGUAACGCGUGAGGAACCUGCCUCAAAGAGGGGGACAACAGUUGGAAACGACUGCUAAUGCCGCAUAAGCCCACGACCCGGCAUCGGGUUGAGGGAAAAGGAGCAAUCCGCUUUGAGAUGGCCUCGCGUCCGAUUAGCUAGUUGGUGAGGUAACGGCCCACCAAGGCGACGAUCGGUAGCCGGACUGAGAGGUUGAACGGCCACAUUGGGACUGAGACACGGCCCAGACUCCUACGGGAGGCAGCAGUGGGGAAUAUUGCACAAUGGGGGAAACCCUGAUGCAGCGACGCCGCGUGGAGGAAGAAGGUCUUCGGAUUGUAAACUCCUGUUGUGGAGGAAGAUAAUGACGGUACUCAACAAGGAAGUGACGGCUAACUACGUG